GGAUGACUUGUAAUCAAAUUACUGGAUUGAUCAGUUCUCCUAAAUCACUUGAACCUACCGUUCUCUUCAAGUGAUGGCGGGCUAUUUAUGAGGUUACAGAUCGACCUUACGCCGGGUUUAUGAGGCCAUCCAGAACCACUUCGAUAUCGUCUUGAGAUAGACACUAUGUUGCUCAAAUCAUCCCCCCGUUGUUGUCUCCCUGUGUCAAUGGUCGUCACCGAAAGCGCAUAAUCCUUGAUAUAGACUUGCCGGUAGUAGAGAGAUGUGUUGAUCAUGUAUCCAUGGAUGUUUGACGAUCCUUUCGUUACUAUAAUUCGCACUCCCUCGGAACUCGUCGUUAUGUUCCACCAGAUGUUCGGCAGUCAUCAUAGCAGCCUAAUCACAGUCACCUAAUAGCCAAAGGAGAGAUUGGUUCGUUCCAAUAUUGUACGGAGGUCACCUAUAUUCAAGAAGUCCAACUCUUAUACUCCGUCGGGAAAAGUGUGCUCACAAGUCGUAAUACACGGAUAUGCAGCUGUAAAGGUGAAUGCUAUUCUCCUUAAUGACCUUGAUAUCUGAUAACUACCCAGCUCCAAUCCUCCCCCUAUUUCUAGAAAUACUCAAGCAAACCCGUAACUGAACAUUGAAAGGAUCCAUUAAUGUGCGUUAUUUCUAUCAACCUGAAUGAAGAUAUAUCUUAUUCCAUAACCAAGACCCGCCCCACGGGAUUCAUUUCAUGGAUAUCUUGCCUAGGAAGGUGCGCGUUUGAACCCCCAUGCAGGUGACUCUUUUUGAAGCAUCAUUCAGAUGAAUUCAAAUGAAAAUUUAAGAAUUUUGAUCAUUUUCCAGAUGCCCGUAUCACCGUUGAUAGGAUGAGCCUGAUUUGUUGAAGCCUCACAUCAACAGAGACCAAAGCAAUGCUCUUCCAGUUAAUGUGAUACUGAGCUUCAUAACAUCGAGUAU
rnacentral:lncRNA from 1 species